CUGUGUGUUGUUGGGUAGGGGAGCGUUCUGUAAGCCUGUGAAGGUGUGUCGUGAGGCAUGCUGGAGGUAUCAGAAGUGCGAAUGCUGACAUAAGUAACGAUAAAGCGGGUGAAAAGCCCGCUCGCCGGAAGACCAAGGGUUCCUGUCCAACGUUAAUCGGGGCAGGGUGAGUCGACCCCUAAGGCGAGGCCGAAAGGCGUAGUCGAUGGGAAACGGGUUAAUAUUCCCGUACUUGGUGUUACUGCGAAGGGGGGACGGAGAAGGCUAUGUUGGCCGGGCGACGGUUGUCCCGGUUUAAGCGUGUAGGUGUGUGUUCCAGGUAAAUCCGGUUCACUUUAACACUGAGGCGUGACGACGAGGCACUACGGUGCUGAAGCAACAAAUGCCCUGCUUCCAGGAAAAGCCUCUAAGCAUCAGGUAACAUCAAAUCGUACCCCAAACCGACACAGGUGGUCAGGUAGAGAAUACCAAGGCGCUUGAGAGAACUCGGGUGAAGGAAC
rnacentral:rRNA from 1 species